CCUCGGUGUCCUGUGUUUUCUUUAACCCCGACGUCCCUCGCCGGGCUCGGCUCCGCUAGCCGGAUGCGGCACCUCCGACCUUCAUUGGAUGGAAUUUUCCCUUGAUUUUUUUGUUCCCCAAUAAAAGCUCACUCCCUGGCGUGUUUUCUCUCUUUCGCUAGCCUCUUGGGUAAACCUCGCCACUGCAUUAGGUGGCUGGAGGCGGGAGCUAGGAGAAGCCGUCUCUGGAGCUGGGCAUUAAAAGAGCAUGGACUGAUGGAGAACAAGCAACGAAGGUCAGAAGGUCAGGUUCAAGCUUGGGUGUCUCCUGAGUGGCCCUGAUGGAGUCAGAUCCCAGUGAGGGAGCAUGGGAAGAGCCUUCCAUCUUUCCUUGAACAAGCCCUUCUUAAUCACCUACUAUGAGCUAAUCAAUGUUCAAAGUAAGGAAGAUGCAGCAGUGAACAAAACAGCCAAGAUCUCUGUCCUCAAGAAGCUUAUGAGAAAACAAGUACAAAUUGUGGUGAAUGGACAGGAAGAAAAUUAUCAGGGAAUGGAAAACAAAACA